rnacentral:rRNA from 1 species
UACGAAGGGGGCGAGCGUUGUUCGGAUUUACUGGGCGUAAAGGGCGCGUAGGCGGCACCGCAAGUCGACUGUGAAAUCUCCGGGCUUAACCCGGAAAGGUCAGCCGAUACUGCGGGGCUAGAGUGCAGAAGGGGCAACUGGAAUUCUCGGUGUAGCGGUGAAAUGCGUAGAUAUCGAGAGGAACACCUGCGGCGAAGGCGGGUUGCUGGGCUGACACUGACGCUGAUGCGCGAAAGCUAGGGGAGCGAACGGG